AGUGAACGCUGGCGGUAGGCCUAACACAUGCAAGUCGAACGGCAGCACAGUAAGAGCUUGCUCUUACGGGUGGCGAGUGGCGGACGGGUGAGGAAUACAUCGGAAUCUACUUUUUCGUGGGGGAUAACGUAGGGAAACUUACGCUAAUACCGCAUACGACCUACGGGUGAAAGCAGGGGAUCUUCGGACCUUGCGCGAUUGAAUGAGCCGAUGUCGGAUUAGCUAGUUGGCGGGGUAAAGGCCCACCAAGGCGACGAUCCGUAGCUGGUCUGAGAGGAUGAUCAGCCACACUAGAACUGAGACACGGUCCAGACUCCUACGGGAGGCAGCAGUGGGGAAUAGUGGACAAUGGGCGCAAGCCUGAUCCAGCCAUACCGCGUGGGUGAAGAAGGCCUUCGGGUUGUAAAGCCCUUUUGUUGGGAAAGAAAAGCAGCAGGUUAAUACCCCGCUGUUCUGACGGUACCCAAAGAAUAAGCACCGGCUAACUUCGUG
rnacentral:rRNA from 1 species